CCCCCCCCCCCCCCCCUCCCCGGAGCACACCGCGCUCGGUCCGGCCGCCGCGUCCCGCCGCGCUGCCCCGGGCGCUGCCCGCUGAGCAUCUGGAGAGAGGGAGAGAGAGAGAGAGAGAAAGGGCGCGUUCAUGAGGACUACAAAGUUACAAAUAUGGCUCCCCAGUCUCUCUUGCCUGAUCACUGCAAAGAAAUGAAGACGCACUUUAAACUAAACCAUUCGCAACUCACUCGCAGUCCCUGCCUGCCUCUCCCUAGCCCAGCACCCUGCACAAAUAUUUGCCAACUAAACACGCCGAGAGAGAGAGCAGCGAGCAACUUAUUUUUUAUUUAAUGCACGGCCAGCCCCUCUCCGAGGCAUCGCAGCCCGGCACGGGCAGGAGCAGCCCCGGGGAGCCCCCGACCGUCCCCGGAGCGCCCCGCGCCCCCCAAAGCGGGGGGCACGGCCCCCCACACACACAGGUGCUGAGGGAUGAGGAUCCAAGCCCAGAGCUGCUCUUUUCCAAGGAUUUGGGAUUUCCAAACAGUUCCCAUCAGCUGGAGCAGAACUCAGGACAGGAUGGAGAUAAAGUCUCAGCUGUGAGCAUGGAAAAGUUCCAGGAAUAUGGAUAAAACCAGCAGGAAUUAUGUUGGGAAGGGGACGGGAAAAGCUGGAUCCAACUCCAGGUGUGUCCAGAGGUGGCUCCUGGGCUGAAUCCUUGGGAACUUUUCAUGGAAUUUCUGCUCCUGGUGCUGCUGAAAACCUCUGGAAAAGGACUUUUCCCCUGGAAAAAAAGAUUGCUGGGACAAGCUGGGAUUUCAAAGGAAUUUCUGGGAGUCCAGAGCUGCUUUUUCCUUUGUUUUUUUUUUCCAAAGAAAAAUGUGGAUUUUGAUUGUUUGAAGGUGCAGAAAAUUCCUUUUUCUUUCGUUAUUGAGGGAAUUCAUUCCCAGUUCCAAGCCAACAUUCCAUGUUUAAUGCUGCUCCUGUCAGUGUUUGUAUUCCAAGUGUUUGGGAAUUUAAAAAAAAUUGGGGAUUGUAAUAUUGGGAAUAAAUCUGAAGGGUUAUUUUUCCA